rnacentral:rRNA from 1 species
GAUGAACGCUGGCGGCGUGCCUAAUACAUGCAAGUCGAGCGAACGGACGAGAAGCUUGCUUCUCUGAUGUUAGCGGCGGACGGGUGAGUAACACGUGGAUAACCUACCUAUAAGACUGGGAUAACUUCGGGAAACCGGAGCUAAUACCGGAUAAUAUUUUGAACCGCAUGGUUCAAAAGUGAAAGACGGUCUUGCUGUCCCUUAUAUAUGGAUCCGCGCUGCAUUAGCUAGUUGGUAAGGUAACGGCUUACCAAGGCAACGAUGCAUAGCCGACCUGAGAGGGUGAUCGGCCACACUGGAACUGAGACACGGUCCAGACUCCUACGGGAGGCAGCAGUAGGGAAUCUUCCGCAAUGGGCGAAAGCCUGACGGAGCAACGCCGCGUGAGUGAUGAAGGUCUUCGGAUCGUAAAACUCUGUUAUUAGGGAAGAACAUAUGUGUAAGUAACUGUGCACAUCUUGACGGUACCUAAUCAGAAAGCCACGGCUAACUACGUG